UCAUUCCCGCAGAGCGAUUUUCAUUUUCAUUACUACCCUGUUGCUGCAGAAACUUAAUCUCCGUGAAACGAGAGCCGCUGAGUAGCAAUGAGUCACCCUGGUUCCCGUAAGGAAGCCCCUUCAGGAAGCCUCUCGAGCAGUGAUGUCCUGUGUAGGACAGCGAUCAGCCGCUGAGCUAUUCAGCCUUAACACUGCUGACAGCAUGUAAUACUGCCCCGGAAACUUUCGGAGAUUGCUUGUCGGACACAGCCAGGGCCUGCCUGUGCCCAGGCAGCUAAUCUAGCUGCAGACAGGUCUUGGGCGAGGAAGCCAAGGGAAAGGAGGUACCCUCUUGGCUAUAGAUGGCAAGGGACCAAAAGGUCUGGGAGUCAUUUCGUGAGCACCAGUGGCAACCUGGAAUGCAGUCAGAAAAAAUAAGAGACUGUCUCUGGGGAUCGUGAAGCCAGCUGAGAAGCUGAGCUGCUAAAAACAAUGGUGCUGCUGUAAGUGGCCUGGGGAGAGGAAAGGCUUUGAGGACAGGUUGUGAGCAUGGGGGCACAGUGAAGCUAGUGUGCAAGUUGCCAAAGAGGAGGCAGCUUUUGAGCACUGCACAGAGCCUGUAAUGAAAAGGGCUCAGUAUCCCAGAAACCUUUGGUCCAAGGAUGACAGACAUUUUUCAGGUGGAGAUAGGGACACAGUACAUUUGCCAUCAAUUUUUAAUUGUAACGGAGUAUUCUGUAGUGAUAGGUACUUUCUGCUGUACAGGCUGCCUGCAGCGUGCAGUGGCCUGCUGGAAACCAGCUCGCUGAUAAGGCUGCUACAAGAAGAGCACAGAGGGACUGGAAAAUGUUUCUAAGACACUGCUGGAAUGCUGAAAAAAAAAAUAAUAAUUGUUACACAAAUUGAGCUUUCCUGUAGAAGUCCUGCUACUAAAUCAUAGCUUCAUUUUAGUUUCCUUAGACACAAGAAGUUCGUAUAUGUCUCGUGCUCCACUGGUGCUGAGGAAAUGCAGCCCCUGUGGUUCCUGCUGGGGCCUGAGACACAGCCCUCCGGGGUGAGGUAGGGUGUAGCUGCUGGAAUGCUCAUCUGGGGCUCAGAAGAGUGGGAUUUGGUUCCCUGUGCAGCCACAUGCCUCCUGUGGGCCAAAUUAGCUGAGGAGCUGAGCUUCUGGAGGAGCACUCCUAAUUUCAGAGGGAGCAUGCUGGAGGAUUUGGUCCUCCAAGUUAGAUUUCUGCUUUGUUCUCUUUUCACGUGACUCCCCUCCUGUCUGCCUUAAUCCGACCACUGUUACGUUGGUUGCAGAAGUCUCUGGGAUAAGUAUCUGAAGGGGCUGGUGGGCACCACGGGGCUGUCAUCUCACUUGGUGGCAGCAAGUGAGUCACGGUGACUGAGGCCUGUGAAGGCUGCUAAGAGGACCCGUUGUCGCCAAGUCCUGUGAGACCUUUCCAGCCCAGGAGAUGUUGCUCCUGCCAGGUUGCAGAGGAGUCAAUGGAGAAACAAGGCCCUGGUGCUCUGCUCCUGCCUGGCUGGGGGAGCAGCGGUCUGAAUUUGGGCAGUGUGAGCUCUGGGGGCUCGUGCUGUGAAAGCAGGAUGGGGCUGCUGAGAGGGGCAGGCCCGGCAUCGCAGGGAGGGAUAAAACUGGUGUUGCUGCUCUCACCACCAUAAAUUACGUGAGGGAGAAAUAGUCCGGCCCUGUGCUCCUCGCUCCUCCAGAUGGGAGAGCACUAAGAUCCUAAAUGGCAAAAGAAGAGGAAACAAAGAAUUAAGCACGGCUUUCUGGAUGCUUCCAAGGAAGACAUAAGGGCGAAGGUCGUCCUGGCACUGAGGGGAAGAGAAAAAAGAAACUAAUUUCCAAGGAUUCAACCCUUAAGCACAGUGACGUAGGAAGAAGGAGAUUCUGUUUGUGGAGCAAGUGAGGAAGGAAAUUAAAGACUAGGGAACAAAGAAGCAGUUCACUGAUGCUUUGGGGCAGGGCUAGGUGGUGGGCCUGUUCCAGGGGGAGCUUGUCUACCAGAAGCAGAAGCCACCACCUGCGGCUGCUUCACCCGUGGUGCUGGCAUGCUGUUGUCCCCAGGCCGGGCUGUGAGGAGGUCCAUGUCUGUGCUCGUUCAUCCUCCAGGCCUGGCUCCGUUCCCUCCCCUAGGGGCUGCGGGGCCGGAUGCUUUUUGACUGUUAAAUCCAUUCAUUCUUGAAGGGCUCUACUUCCUUGGAAAGUAAAAUACAUUCUCGAGAAGCGGGUGACCUAAGCUUUGGGAUAUGUCUUGGAAACUGGAAAAUGUCCCAUGUGCUUUGUUCCUGCUGCUAGUGGAAGCCCACAGAAGCUGGUUGGGUCUGUGGCAUCAUUCUGGCUGCAGAUUGUGGCACCCCCAGACCUUUAGCCAAGACCAGCAGAGCUCUUGCAGCCCUCUUCUCCUUGAGGGGUCUCAGAACAUGUCCUUCCUUCAUUUCACGAGGCGACUCAUCACACCACAGAGCCUGCUGGUGUAUCUAGUGAGCUGACGGCAGGUUAGCUGCAGAGAGGCUGUCCCCGAAGGGCUGCGAAUCCUGUCUUAACCAAGCAGGCUGGUGCUUCAGCUUCUCUGCAUCAGCAGUGAGCAUUUGCCGCAGGGGAUAGAGCAGAACUGAGAAAGGAAAAUAGCAGCGGCAGUGACCGGAGUGCUGCACGAAGUCACCUGGCCUGCCUUGAACUGCUGAGCCAGGCACCAGGAGCUGCCCAGGGUGGGCUGAUGACCUCUGUCAGCUCCGUGCAGAGAGGAUGGGAGGCAGGCAGAGACAGCGACACCAAACCAGAAGCCGCAUGCAGGUGACAUGCAGCCACCUCGCAGAACCCUAACAUAUCUUCCAGUUGCUGAUGUCCGGGUAGCUGUGCCAUCUCCAGAGCAAAAAACUUUUGCCAGGCUGGCUGCCCACAGCUUUCCAUUGGAAAUCCCCCAUUUCUAACCCUAACUGCUUUUCUACCAAGGAAGAAGCAUCCCCCCGAGUUUAAAGGUAAGCUCCUCGCGUUCACUGCAGCAUGAAGAUCCGUGGGUAUAAAUCCUGUUCAGAUGACUUUAUAAAGCACCGAAGUACUCCACAGCACCAGGAUUUAACCUUGGCAUGUUCAUUUUCCGUAAUGUGAUUAAGGAGCCUUUCCCCCUGCACAGCAGAUAUCUGAGCGGUUUUUUGUGUACGGAAGAGGAGCAAUUGUCCAGCUUUGCGCAAAUGAGGCGCUACUUCAGUGCUUGCCCUGUGAAGAUACUUCAGUUUCAAUGGGCUUCAAGAUUGCACUUUUGUGUUAAGUGGAGCUGUGAUCUUUUUCCAAUGAGUGUUGCUAUGCAGGGCCAAUUUGUGACGUCCAUUAUUCUAAAAUAAGUAACUUCUGCACAGCAGAAAUAUGCUCCACUUGCACUGCUAAUCUGUCUCUCACACAAAGGCGUGUUUGGAAGAAAAGUUAUUUAUUGCAAGUAAUAAAUGCAGGUUCUCAAAAGCAUUUAUAACUUAGUUUCCAGAGUCAAAGCACUCCAGUUUGAAAUAAUUUCCUUUCAAUUUUCUGUAUUUUCAAUCUCUUUCCUGGCUGUUUUAGACCAUAUAUUGCAUACUUAAUUAUUCUCCAAAGGAGAAUCUCAGCCAUUGAAAAUAGAAUAUACUUA